UAUUGCACAAUGGGCGCAAGCCUGAUGCAGCCAUGCCGCGUGUAUGAAGAAGGCCUUCGGGUUGUAAAGUACUUUCAGCGAGGAGGAAGGCAUUGUGGUUAAUAACCACAGUGAUUGACGUUACUCGCACAAGAAGCACCGGCUAACUCCGUGCCAGCAGCCGCGGUAGUACGGAGGGUGCAAGCGUUAAUCGGAAUUACUGGGCGUAAAGCGCACGCAGGCGGUCUGUCAAGUCGGAUGUGAAAUCCCCGGGCUCAACCUGGGAACUGCAUUCGAAACUGGCAGGCUAGAGUCUUGUAGAGGGGGGUAGAAUUCCAGGUGUAGCGGUGAAAUGCGUAGAGAUCUGGAGGAAUACCGGUGGCGAAGGCGGCCCCCUGGACAAAGACUGACGCUCAGGUGCGAAAGCGUGGGGAGCAAACAGGA
rnacentral:rRNA from 1 species